CCUACGGGUGGCAGCAGUGGGGAAUAUUGGGCAAUGGGCGCAAGCCUGACCCAGCAACGCCGCGUGAAGGAAGAAGGCUUUCGGGUUGUAAACUUCUUUUUAGCGGGAAGCGCAGAAGACGGUACCUCUUGAAUAAGCCACGGCUAACUACGUGUCAGCAGCCGCGGUAAUACGGAGGUGGCAAGCGUUGUCCGGAUUUACUGGGUGUAUAGGGCGUGUAGUCGGGCUGACAAGUCAGAGGUGAAAUCCCGUGGCUCAACCACGGAACUGCAUUUGAAACUGUCGGUCUUGAGUAUCGGAGAGGCAGGCGGAAUGCCUGGUGUAGCGGUGAAAUGCGUAGAUAUUAGGAGGAACACCAGUGGCGAAGGCAGCCUGCUGGACGACAACUGACGGUGAGGCGCGAAAGCGUGGGGAGCAAACAGGAUUAGAUACCCGGGUAGUC
rnacentral:rRNA from 1 species